GACGAACGCUGGCGGCGUGCUUAACACAUGCAAGUCGAACGGAAAGGCCCUGCUUUUGUGGGGUGCUCGAGUGGCGAACGGGUGAGUAACACGUGGGUAACCUGCCCUUGACUUUGGGAUAACUUCAGGAAACUGGGGCUAAUACCGGUUAGGAGCUCCUGCUGCAUGGUGGGGGUUGGAAAGUUUCGGCGGUUGGGGAUGGACUCGCGGCUUAUCAGCUUGUUGGUGGGGUAGUGGCUUACCAAGGCUUUGACGGGUAGCCGGCCUGAGAGGGUGACCGGCCACAUUGGGACUGAGAUACGGCCCAGACUCCUACGGGAGGCAGCAGUGGGGAAUAUUGCACAAUGGGCGGAAGCCUGAUGCAGCAACGCCGCGUGCGGGAUGACGGCCUUCGGGUUGUAAACCGCUUUCGCCUGUGACGAAGCGUGAGUGACGGUAAUGGGUAAAGAAGCACCGGCUAACUACGUG
rnacentral:rRNA from 1 species